GUAUUUUGAUCCUUCAUUGGACCAAAAAGUUGUGCCCUGAACACAGGCGAGCGUGCUGCAAGAACCACCUUGUGAGCAGCAUAUACUUCCCCAUCAACCUCAAAAUUUACAUCAGUUCUCUUUCCACUUUCUAAAAGCUUUCCGAAAUGCUUACUGAUAUCAGAGGGCGGCACUGCAAUGGUAUAGGCCUUCGGUCCCUCAGUCUGGGAUUUUACAACACCAACACAACAGCGAAUUACCAAGGUAUCAUCUUUGAGAUAGUCUGAUGUCUCUAUUUGAGUUCUCUUAAAAAACCGUUUAUAACCCCACAUACUGCCGCGAUAUUUCAACGUGUAAGGGCCACUUUCAAGAGCUCUACCGAAAUGGCUAUGAACCUUAUGGUUUUCUUUCCCACUCUGAUCCAUCAGCGAAAGCUCAAACAAUGCCCUCACGUCAGUGCCCUCGCUUGCGAGAGCUAUGAAUAAUGACACAUAUGUCGCAUUAUCUUCAAGGCUCUUUCCAUCAGGGUAAAAGUAGAUUGCCCACGCGUACCCACCAACGAUGAACGUAUCUGAUGCUAUGUACUUUCCGAUUCCGAUGCCCUUCGAUGGAGAGUAGCCACCGAUUUUGAACUCGUGAGAUCCAUUUAUUGUCUCAGUGCGAGAGGUGGAAGUGGUGGUUGGGACAGGGGAGGAGGAGGUUGAUGUGGGUUUGGAGAGGUCUGCGGUGGUAGCUCUGAUUGUGCCCAUCAACAAGAGAGAGAUUUGAUAAUCUGAGACUUGUUGAUGGGAGAAUUAAACAGUGUUUGAUUGAAUUAUAGGGACAGGGUGAGAUUUUUUGGGUUUAGUAGAGAAUUAGGGUUUCCAAGAGGUGGGGAUUUGAGGGGUAAAAGAGUCGAAAUUGGAGAGGGGAAAACACGGGGGAAAUAGAUUGGAUCAGGUAUUGGGCGAAGAAAGGAGGAGAAAGAAAAGAGAAGGGAUGUGAUGGCGGAGAUGGCUUGCUAUUGGGGAAUGAGAAAAGAGUUUAGAAUGGAGGUAGUGAAUAUAAGAACAAGUUGAGGUUUUGUUUGUUUAUUUAUGUUGAUUUCUGUCAGAGCCGUGCCCUGACUUUACCUGUGCAAGAAGCUUCAUUUUCAUUUCUGCCAUUUAUCCAAAACUAAUUGUUAUUUUAAUAUUGUGGCAUUCAAUUUUAUAUGAUUUUUCAAUUUCUUUU
rnacentral:misc_RNA from 1 species